rnacentral:tRNA from 1 species
GGACUCGUGCCUGAAAAAAAGGGCUACUUUGAUAGAGUAAAUUAUGGGGGUUAAAAGCCCCCCGACUCCU